rnacentral:rRNA from 1 species
UACGAAGGGUGCAAACGUUGCUCGGAAUCAUUGGGCGUAAAGCGCACGUAGGCGGCCUAUUAAGUCGGAUGUGAAAUCCCUCGGCUCAACCGAGGACGUGCAUACGAAACUGGUAGGCUCGAGUAUGGAAGAGGGUCGCGGAAUUCCCGGUGUAGAGGUGAAAUUCGUAGAUAUCGGGAGGAACACCGGUGGCGAAGGCGGCGACCUGGGUUGACAUUGACGCUGAGGCGCGAAAGCGUGGGGAGCAAACAGG